GUCCACGCCGUAAACGAUGGAUACUAGCUGUUGGGUGCAAACUCAGUGGCUAAGCGAAAGUGAUAAGUAUCCCACCUGGGGAGUACGUUCGCAAGAAUGAACUCAAAGGAUUGACGGGGCCCGCACAAGCGGUGGAGCAUGUGGUUAAUUCGAUGAUACGCGAGGAACCUUACCAAGGCUUAAAUGUAGUUUGACAGAUUUGGAAACAGAUUUUCUUCGGACAAAUUACAAGGUGCUGCAUGGUUGUCGU
rnacentral:rRNA from 1 species